UGAACGCUGGCGGCGUGCUUAACACAUGCAAGUCGACCGAUGAAGCCCAGCUUGCUGGGUGGAUUAGUGGCGAACGGGUGAGUAACACGUGAGUAACCUGCCCUUGACUCUGGGAUAAGCCUGGGAAACUGGGUCUAAUACUGGAUAUGACUUCUCAUCGCAUGGUGGGGGGUGGAAAGAUUUAUUGGUCUUGGAUGGACUCGCGGCCUAUCAGCUUGUUGGUGAGGUAAUGGCUCACCAAGGCGACGACGGGUAGCCGGCCUGAGAGGGUGACCGGCCACACUGGGACUGAGACACGGCCCAGACUCCUACGGGAGGCAGCAGUGGGGAAUAUUGCACAAUGGGCGCAAGCCUGAUGCAGCGACGCCGCGUGAGGGAUGACGGCCUUCGGGUUGUAAACCUCUUUCAGUAGGGAAGAAGCGAGAGUGACGGUACCUGCAGAAGAAGCGCCGGCUAACUACGUG
rnacentral:rRNA from 1 species